rnacentral:rRNA from 1 species
UACGGGAGGCAGCAGUAGGGAAUAUUGGUCAAUGGGNNAGAGCCUGAACCAGCCAUGCCGCGUGAAGGAAGAAGGCGUUNUGNGUUGUAAACUUNUUUUAUACAGGAAGAAAAGACCCAUGCGUGGGNCAUNGACGGUACNGUAUGAAUAAGCGCCGACUAACUCCGUGCCAGCAGCNUCGGUAAUACGGAGGGUGCAAGUGUUGUCCGGAUUUAUUGGGUUUAAAGGGUGGGUAGGCGGAUGAUUAAGUCAGUGGUGAAAGCCCNUCACUCAACUGUGGNAGUGCCAUUGAUACUGGUUAUCUUGAGUAUGGAUNAGNCAGAAUGAAUUUNUGAUGUAGCGAUGAAAUGCAUAGAUAUGGUAAAGAACACGGAUAGGGAAGUCAGCUGGCUAAACUAUAACUGACGGUGAGGCAAGAAAGCGUGGGGAGCGGACUGGAUUACAUNCCUUGGUAGUCCAUUCAGUAAAGGAUGAUUGCUNGNGUGNCGAUACACAGUCAGUGUCCAAGCGAAAG